GACGGAGGAUGCAAGUGUUAUCCGGAAUCACUGGGCGUAAAGCGUCUGUAGGUGGUUUAAUAAGUCAACUGUUAAAUCUUGAGGCUCAACCUCAAAAUCGCAGUCGAAACUAUUAGGCUAGAGUAUAGUAGGGGUAAAGGGAAUUUCCAGUGGAGCGGUGAAAUGCGUAGAGAUUGGAAAGAACACCGAUGGCGAAGGCACUUUACUGGGCUAUUACUAACACUCAGAGACGAAAGCUAGGGUAGCAAAUGGGA
rnacentral:rRNA from 1 species